GACGAACGCUGGCGGCGUGCUUAACACAUGCAAGUCGAACGGAAAGGCCCCCAUCUUGGUGGGGGUGCUCGAGUGGCGAACGGGUGAGUAACACGUGGGUGAUCUGCCCUGUACUUCGGGAUAAGCUUGGGAAACUGGGUCUAAUACCGGAUAGGACCAUGGUUUAGUGUCUCAUGGUGGAAAGAUUAUUGUUUUGGUGCAGGAUGAGCUCGCGGCCUAUCAGCUUGUUGGUGGGGUAAUGGCCUACCAAGGCGUCGACGGGUAGCCGGCCUGAGAGGGUGGACGGCCACAUUGGGACUGAGAGACGGCCCAGACUCCUACGGGAGGCAGCAGUGGGGAAUAUUGCACAAUGGGCGCAAGCCUGAUGCAGCGACGCCGCGUGGGGGAUGACGGCCUUCGGGUUGUAAACUCCUUUCGUUAGGGACGAAGCCGCACUUUUUUUGGGUGUGGUGACGGUACCUUUGUUAAGAAGCACCGGCUAACUACGUG
rnacentral:rRNA from 1 species